rnacentral:misc_RNA from 1 species
CAGAGAAGGUUUAGCCCGCAAGUAUGUCCUCACUCUUGACACUGAAUUUGCAACUGAAUAUUAAUAUGAAUGGAAUGGAAAAUUGUCUGAUUACCUUUGAAUGUGAAUGGAAGAUAGCUGAAAAUUAUGUUUUUUGCUGAAUCCCCAUGCGGCCAUGCCUACCAUGCUUUUCAAAUGAGUUGAUGGGAGAUGAGACUGUUUCUUAUUCUUACACUGUCGUACUCCAAUUCAUUGUUUUUUACAAGUGUUUUAAGUUCAUUAACUAGCUUUGCUUAAUAGCCAGUUAAGUCUCUUAAUAAAAUACUAGAUACACGAAAUCAAAUGUUAACUGAAUAGGAUAGUGUAGGCUUGCAAUGAUCAAACGGAUAAAUAGACUUCAAAGAAAUAUGUGGAUUGAAGAAUCAGAGAGCAACUUAAGCAGUAUGCCAAUGAGAUUUUUGGUGUCACAUAAUGGAAUAGGUUAGACAUACGUAAGUUAUUGAUUGGAUGGGUGAGCUAUGUUCCUGCAAAAUGUUACUCAAGGGUGUAAUCAUCACCAGUAGAUCUGUUUCUCUUUUAUCUAAUGUAUCUUUUCAUUGUUAAAUAAUUUCAACUUUUCCCGACAGAUACAUAAACCCUCAACCAGAGUGGUCAGUCUUCCGCGAGGCAAGUUUUGGUCAUGGAGAG